rnacentral:rRNA from 1 species
UACGUAGGGUGCAAGCGUUGUCCGGAAUUAUUGGGCGUAAAGAGCUCGUAGGCGGUUUGUCGCGUCUGUUGUGAAAACCCGAGGCUCAACCUCGCGCCUGCAGUGGGUACGGGCAGACUAGAGUGCGGUAGGGGAGAUUGGAAUUCCUGGUGUAGCGGUGGAAUGCGCAGAUAUCAGGAGGAACACCGAUGGCGAAGGCGGAUCUCUGGGCCGUAACUGACGCUGAGGAGCGAAAGCGUGGGGAGCGAACAGG